rnacentral:rRNA from 1 species
GUCGAGAAUCAUUCACAAUGGGCGAAAGCCUGAUGGUGUGACGCCGCGUGGAGGAUGAAGGUCUUCGGAUUGUAAACUCCUGUCAUGUGGGAGUAAAGCCGGGCGUUAACUGCGUGCCGGUCUGAGAGUACCACAAGAGGAAGAGACGGCUAACUCUGUGCCAGCAGCCGCGGUAAUACAGAGGUCUCAAGCGUUGUUCGGAAUCACUGGGCGUAAAGGGUGCGUAGGCCGCACGGUAAGUCAGAGGUGAAAUCCCGGAGCUCAACUUCGGAAUUGCCUCCGAUACUGCCGUGCUUGAGGACUGGAGAGGAGAUUGGAAUUCACAGUGGAGCAGUGAAAUGCGUAGAUAUUGUGAGGAACACUAGUGGCGAAGGCGAAUCUCUGGACAGUUCCUGACGCUGAGGCACGAAGGCCAGGGGAGCAAACGGGAUUAGAAACCCGUGUAGUCC